GAUGAUAUGAUAGCUAUCUCCAGCCAACCUUCCCUCCCGACCUUUGUUUUCUUCAGGGUUUACAAGCUAGUCCACUGGCUCCAUAUGAACCUCAGAAUCACGACCUGCCAAAGAGACACUGUAUUUUCACAUCUCUGACUCUGUUGAGUUACAGGGUUAGAGCUGACAUUUGUAGUAUGGAAGAUGACCGACCCUUCAGGAAGAUAGCACCUCCUUUCCCCAAUACUUGCUUGGCUUUGUUUCGUGGUAUUGGUGAUCUUAUUACUUGCUACUUGAGUCUCUGCUGCUAAGAGUUUAGGGAUAUCCUGUGAGAAUUGAAAAUCAUCCUCAUCGGUACCCUCUGUGCCCAUCUGGGACCCAGAUGCCUCUGCAGUACGGCUAGAUCCAACUACGCCCGCCCCGGGCCACAGAAACAGCGCGCUUGUUGCCAGGCACCGCUCUUGCAGAAGCUCAGAGCCCCUUGCGUCGCCUCACACUCACACAGGCUCCUCCCCGCCCGCGCCCUGCGGGUUUGGGCAACACGCCCACAGGAAGAGGCGGGGCGGCGCGGCCCGCUGCGCUGAUUGGCCAGCGCUCGCCUGACGCAGGAUCCCGCUAUAAGUGCGGCCCGCUGUCCCCUCCUGCGCCAGACGUUCUCGCCCAGAGUCGCCGCGGUUUCCUGCUUCAACAGUGCUUGAACGGAACCCGGUGCUCGACCCCUCCGACCCCCGCCGGCCGCUUCGAGCCUGAGCCCUUUGCAACUUCGUCGUUCCGCCGCUCCAGCGUCGCCACCGCGCCUCGCCCCGCCGCCACCAUGACCACCGCGUCUCCCUCGCAAGUGCGCCAGAACUACCACCAGGACGCGGAGGCUGCCAUCAACCGCCAGAUCAACCUGGAGUUGUAUGCCUCCUACGUCUAUCUGUCUAUGUCUUGUUAUUUUGACCGAGAUGAUGUGGCUCUGAAGAACUUUGCCAAAUACUUUCUCCACCAAUCUCAUGAGGAGAGGGAGCAUGCCGAGAAACUGAUGAAGCUGCAGAACCAGCGAGGUGGCCGAAUCUUCCUGCAGGAUAUAAAGAAACCAGACCGUGAUGACUGGGAGAGCGGGCUGAAUGCAAUGGAGUGUGCACUGCACUUGGAAAAGAGUGUGAAUCAGUCACUACUGGAACUGCACAAACUGGCUACUGACAAGAAUGAUCCCCACUUAUGUGACUUCAUUGAGACGUAUUAUCUGAGUGAACAGGUGAAAUCCAUUAAAGAACUGGGUGACCACGUGACCAACUUACGCAAGAUGGGUGCCCCUGAAGCUGGCAUGGCAGAAUAUCUCUUUGACAAGCACACCCUGGGACACGGUGAUGAGAGCUAAGCUGACUUCCCCAAAGCCACGUGACUUUACUGGUCACUGAGGCAGUGCAUGCAUGUCAGGCUGCCUUCAUCUUUUCUAUAAGUUGCACCAAAACAUCUGCUUAAGUUCUUUAAUUUGUACCAUUUCUUCAAAUAAAGAAUUUUGGUACCCAGCUUCUUUUCUUUGUGAU